CACGUAGGGGGCAAGCGUUGUCCGGAUUUAUUGGGCGUAAAGAGCUCGUAGGCGGCUCAGUAAGUCGGGUGUGAAACCUCCAGGCUCAACCUGGAGACGCCACCUGAUACUGCUGUGGCUAGAGUCCGGUAGGGGAGCGUGGAAUUCCUGGUGUAGCGGUGAAAUGCGCAGAUAUCAGGAGGAACACCGAUGGCGAAGGCAAUCCCCUGGGCCUGCACUGACGCUCAUGCACGAAAGCGUGGGGAGCAAACAGG
rnacentral:rRNA from 1 species